rnacentral:rRNA from 1 species
AAUAGAUACCCGGGUAGUCCACGCCGUAAACGAUGUCGACUUGGAGGUUGUUCCCUUGAGGAGUGGCUUCCGGAGCUAACGCGUUAAGUCGACCGCCUGGGGAGUACGGCCGCAAGGUUAAAACUCAAAUGAAUUGACGGGGGCCCGCACAAGCGGUGGAGCAUGUGGUUUAAUUCGAUGCAACGCGAAGAACCUUACCUACUCUUGACAUCCAGAGAACUUAGCAGAGAUGCUUUGGUGCCUUCGGGAACUCUGAGACAGGUGCUGCAUGGCUGUCGUCAGCUCGUGUUGUGAAAUGUUGGGUUAAGUCCCGCAACGAGCGCAACCCUUAUCCUUUGUUGCCAGCGGUCCGGCCGGGAACUCAAAGGAGACUGCCAGUGAUAAACUGGAGGAAGUGGGGAUGACGUCAAGUCAUCAUGGCCCUUACGAGUAGGGCUACACACGUGCUACAAUGGCGUAUACAAAGAGAAGCGACCUCGCGAGAGCAAGCGGACCUCAUAAAGUACGUCGUAGUCCGGAUUGGAGU